AUGUAUCCCAUUGCUUGGGCAGCAGUUGAGGUGGAAAAUAAGGACUCCUGGUUCUGGUUUAUGGCAUCGUUAAAUAAAGACUUGGAGAUUUCAAAUCAAGGUGAAGGCUGGGUGUUUAUAUCGGAUUAGCAGAAACGUCUAAUCAAUGCAAUUUCAAAGGUUGUACCAAGAGCUGAACACAGAAAUUGUGCUAGGCACAUUUAUGCUAACUGGAAGAAAAAACAUAGGGACCAGAAAUACCAGAAGAGAUUUUGGGCUUGUGCAAAGUCUUCUAACAGAGUUCAGUUCAAUUUAAACAGGGAAAAGCUUGCUCAGCUCACACCAGAAGGAGCAAGAGACAUGAUGCAAUCUGGGCCUAAACAUUGGUGUAGAGCAUGGUUCAAAGAAGGAUCAUUCUGUGAUUCGGUCGACAUCAAUAUGUGUGAAAGUUUUAACAACUGGAUAGUGGAAUAUAGAGGUCUUCCUAUCAUCAGUAUGCUUGAAGGAAUCAGAGCAAAGGUGACUGUAAGGAUUCAAGUUAAUAGAGCUAUGCCUGCCAAUUGGAAUGGACAAUUUGUCCCAAAAUCCUCAAAAAGGUGA
rnacentral:rRNA from 1 species